AUUUAAAUAGCUUAAUUUUAAAGUAUGAUAUUGAAGCUAUCAUGAUAAGUUUUACUUUUUAAAUA
rnacentral:tRNA from 1 species